rnacentral:sRNA from 1 species
CAGGAUGCAGAGGCCACGGAGGAGGGCUGGGCCAGCUUCUCCUGUGAGCUGUCCCACGAGGAUGAGGAGGUCGAGUGGUCGCUCAACGGGAUGCCCCUGUACAAUGACAGCUUCCAUGAGAUCUCACACAAGGGCCGGCGCCACACGCUGGUACUGAAGAGCAUCCAGCGGGCUGAUGCGGGCAUAGUACGCGCCUCCUCCCUGAAGGUGUCGACCUCUGCCCGCCUGGAGGUCCGAGUGAAGCCGGUGGUGUUCCUGAAGGCGCUGGAUGACCUGUCCGCAGAGGAGCGCGGCACCCUGGCCCUGCAGUGUGAAGUCUCUAACCCUGAGGCCCAUGUGGUGUGGCGCAAAGAUGGCGUGCAGCUGGGCCCCAGUGACAAGUAUGACUUCCUGCACACGGCAGGCACGCGGGGGCUCGUGGUGCGUGACGUGAGCCCUGAAGACGCCGGCCUGUACACCUGCCACGUGGGCUCCGAGGAGACCCAGGCCCGGGUCAGCGUGCACGAUCUGCACGUGGGCAUCACCAAGAGGCUGAAGACAAUGGAGGUGCUGGAAGGGGAGAGCUGCAGCUUUGAGUGCGUCCUGUCCCAUGAGAGCGCCAGCGACCCGGCCAUGUGGACAGUCGGUGGGAAGACAGUGAGCAGCUCCAGCCGCUUCCAGGCCACACGUCAGGGCCGAAAAUACAUCCUGGUGGUCCGGGAGGCUGCACCAAGUGAUGCCGGGGAGGUGGUCUUCUCUGUGCGGGGCCUCACCUCCAAGGCCUCACUCAUUGUCAGAGAGAGGCCGGCCGCCAUCAUCAAGCCCCUGGAAGACCAGUGGGUGGCGCCAGGGGAGGACGUGGAGCUGCGCUGUGAGCUGUCACGGGCGGGAACGCCCGUGCACUGGCUGAAGAACAGGAAGGCCAUCCGCAAGAGCCAGAAGUAUGAUGUGGUCUGCGAGGGCACGAUGGCCAUGCUGGUCAUCCGCGGGGCCUCGCUCAAGGACGCGGGCGAGUACACGUGUGAGGUGGAGGCUUCCAAGAGCACAGCCAGCCUCCAUGUGGAAGAAAAAGCAAACUGCUUCACAGAGGAGCUGACCAAUCUGCAGGUGGAGGAGAAAGGCACAGCUGUGUUCACGUGCAAGACGGAGCACCCCGCGGCCACAGUGACCUGGCGCAAGGGCCUCUUGGAGCUACGGGCCUCAGGGAAGCACCAGCCCAGCCAGGAGGGCCUGACCCUGCGGCUCACCAUCAGUGCCCUGGAGAAGGCAGACAGCGACACCUAUACCUGCGACAUUGGCCAGGCCCAGUCCCAGGCCCAGCUCCUAGUGCAAGGUGAGGCGGCCAAGUGUGCUCGGGCCUAGGCUUUGAAUGGCACGGAGACUUGGAGGUGGACAGGCCCAGCCUCAGUUUCUUAUCAUGAGGGUAUAGGGGUGCACCCUGGGUGGUCACUGAGGCUCCCCAGCAUGGCUGUGAAUGAGCUGCUGGUGCUCACUUACUCGUGUGUUUAUUUGGUCACUGUGUUUCUCCCACAUGCCCCGUGUGCCUGGCCCCCAUGCGUAAGCUCAGCGUGUAUCUGUACAUACAACGUGUCACCCUUAUCCCAGAGGGACAGCCUGACUCAGCCGUGCCAGGCAGCCUCAGGUGCUCCCAGGGAAGAACUGAUGGUCAUUAGGGUUGUCAUUGAGAGUUACAGUGGCAUUUUAGUCUUUUUCUUGUUGUUUACAACAGAAUACCUGAAACUGGGUAAUUUAUAAAGAAAAUAAAUUUACCUCUUACAGCUCUGGAGGCUGGGAAGUCCAAGGUCAAGGGGCCACAUCUGGUGAGGGCCCUUUUGCUGACAGGGACUCUCUGCAGAGUCCCCAAGGGAUGGCACAGGGCAUCCCAUGGGGAGGGGGCUGAGUGUGCUAGCUUGGGCCUCUCUUCAUCUUCUUUUAAAGCCACCACUCAUAUGGAAGCACUUUAACCCAUUAACCUGUUAACCCAUUGAUCCAUGAAUGGGUUAAUCCAUUCCUGCCUUGGACCCAAUCCCCUCUUAAAGGCUCCACCUCUUAUUAUUGCCACAUUGGGAUUAAGUUUCAACAUGAGUUUCCAGGGGGACAUUCAGAUCAUAGUAGGUGGCUGUUCGAUCUUACUGUUUGGCUCCACAUUUGAGUGGCAGGCAGAGUGAGAGCUGUCAUUCUCUCGACUCUGUAGAUAAGAAAACUGAAGCUUUAGUGGGUCCGUGGCCAGGGCAAGGUCAUCAGGCACAUUGGGAUCAGAGCAGGCGAGGCCCAGCCCCAUCACCACAGCCUUCAUUUGGCUCUGAAGUCCCGGGCUGGUGUCCAGAGCUGAGUUUGCAGGAGGUCCCUACUGGGGUCUGACCACAGGGCAUUCACAGGGUUCAGUAUUUGAAAGGCCCCAGUUGUGAUCAUCAGAAGUAACGUAAACCAGGAAUCAUCACUGAUUUUUUCUCUCCAAUGGAUUUGGUGACCCUGGUGAAAGUAUUCUGUUAGCACAGUAACGCCCCAUGAUCUAAUAAAGUUGGUACCCAGAGUUAAUUUUUAAAAAAGUC